rnacentral:rRNA from 1 species
CGUACACUCCUACGGGAGGCAGCAGUGGGGAAUAUUGCACAAUGGGCGCAAGCCUGAUGCAGCCAUGCCGCGUGUAUGAAGAAGGCCUUCGGGUUGUAAAGUACUUUCAGCGGGGAGGAAGGCGAUAAGGUUAAUAACCUUGUCGAUUGACGUUACCCGCAGAAGAAGCACCGGCUAACUCCGUGCCAGCAGCCGCGGUAAUACGGAGGGUGCAAGCGUUAAUCGGAAUUACUGGGCGUAAAGCGCACGCAGGCGGUCUGUCAAGUCGGAUGUGAAAUCCCCGGGCUCAACCUGGGAACUGCAUUCGAAACUGGCAGGCUAGAGUCUUGUAGAGGGGGGUAGAAUUCCAGGUGUAGCGGUGAAAUGCGUAGAGAUCUGGAGGAAUACCGGUGGCGAAGGCGGCCCCCUGGACAAAGACUGACGCUCAGGUGCGAAAGCGUGGGGAGCAAACAGGAUUAGAUACCCGAGUAGUCCCAUG